rnacentral:rRNA from 1 species
GAUGAACGCUGGCGGCGUGCUUAACACAUGCAAGUCGAACGAAGAAUUUACGACAGAUUUCCUCGGAUUGAAGUUGUUUAUGACUGAGUGGCGGACGGGUGAGUAACGCGUGGGUAACCUGCCUUGUACUGGGGGAUAGCAGCUGGAAACGGCUGGUAAUACCGCAUAAGCGCACGGUGCUGCAUGGCACAGUGUGAAAAACUCCGGUGGUAUAAGAUGGACCCGCGUCUGAUUAGCUAGUUGGUGAGAUAACAGCCCACCAAGGCGACGAUCAGUAGCCGACCUGAGAGGGUGACCGGCCACAUUGGGACUGAGACACGGCCCAGACUCCUACGGGAGGCAGCAGUGGGGAAUAUUGCACAAUGGAGGAAACUCUGAUGCAGCGACGCCGCGUGAGUGAAGAAGUAAUUCGUUAUGUAAAGCUCUAUCAGCAGGGAAGAUAGUGACGGUACCUGACUAAGAAGCUCCGGCUAAAUACGUGCCAGCCGCCGCAGUAA